rnacentral:lncRNA from 1 species
GACGAUGUCUUGACCCUCGCAAGGAAGAUUCGUGAGAGUUUGAAUGUUUUCUUCGCUUAAGAGAAUAGAAACACCAUUGAUUUUGGUAGAAAGUUCACCAUUUUCAUCCUUUUUCAAGUUUGAAUAAAAUGCCCGAAUCAAAUGAGGAUGAAUGUAAGAAUAUGAAAGAUAAGCAAAAUUGACAAUUUGGCUUUGAAGAAGGAUAGUUGAAUGAGCGGAGUCGGAAAGAUAUCUAGCCGUUGUAAAACGGGGUGGAAGAAUUUCCCUAUUUUCAAAUUUUUGAAGAAAGCGUCGAAGUUCACUUUCUUGUUCAAAUUUUAGAAAAGAAACAUCUUGAUAGCAAAAUACAUCUUGAGGGACAUUUGAAGAAGAAGCAACGUUCUUUCAGAAUAUGAAAGAUAGGCAAAAUUGACAAUUUGGCUUUGAAGAAGGAUAGUUGAAUGAACGGAGUCGGAAAGAUAUCUACCCGUUGUAAAACGGGGUGGAAGAAUUUCCCUAUUUUCAAAUUUUUGAAGAAAGCGUCGAAGUUCACUUUCUUGUUG